rnacentral:pre_miRNA from 1 species
UUAGUACUCCCUCCGUCCGAAAAUACUUGUCAUCAAAAUAAAUAAAAAGGAUUAUAUCUAGAUGUAUAUUAGUUCUAGAUACAUUCCUUUUUAUCUAUUUUGAUGACAAGUAUUUUCGGACGGAGGGAGUAUGUA